GUUAAAUUCUAAGCACAGUUCCACCUUCCGGCUGCUGCCAGGAAUCCCCUCCCCAGACCUCUGGGAGGAACAGGUGGAGGAGAGGGACUGUCCGACCAGCACCUUUCUUGUGGGCCCUUGGGGUGAGAAGUCUCCCGGAGACGGAGACCGGUGCUGUGCCGCGUGCUGGUAGGUCACCACGCAGCGCCAAGUGACGGAGAGGACAGUGCACACCGGAAGCACCGGCGGCUUGCUCUGGGCUCUGGGUGCAUCUGGGCGAAGCUGGCCUGAUGAUCGGGAGCUGAGGCGCUGUCCCCUCCCUGUCAGUCGGCGUCAGGGACUCCUCCCUCCCUCCCCUCAACCCCGAAGCUGGUGCAGCCCGGCUCCUGCUGCCUAGGAGGGGGCCCUGGGCUCCCAGCGCCCUCUUCCUGCAACUGCGUCCUCUCUCCUCUCCCGGGCCCCUGCUCCUUCCCCGGGCUGGACUUGUGCCAUGGAUCUGUGGCCCUGCGAUGGCCUGGAGCCCUGGGUGCGGAUGAGGUGUGGCCCUCGGGACACCUAGUGGACCCUCUGUGUCGCCUGAGCCCGGCCCUAGCUGAAAACAGAAAUGUAAUUUAUUCAAAUACGGUCAUGUCAUCUUCUUCUGGACCUUCGUCCUAACUCUCCGAACCCCGAAUUCCAG
rnacentral:lncRNA from 1 species